UUUUUUUAUUUCUCCUCUCUACGACUUUUUCAUCUUCUUCGUUUCUCUCUGUCUCGAGUCAACAAUCCGACAAACACAAAGCUUUCAAUCUCUUUUCUUCUUCUUCUUUCUUCUUUUUUUUUUUCUCUCUUUUCUCGAUUCCAUCGAUACUCAUUCAUCUUUUUCAUCUUCCCUCUUCACUCGUUUCUAUCGAUCCAAAGAUCCGUCCUCUCUCUUCUUCUUCGUGAGAAAUUCGCAGUGAAAUCGAGAAAUCCGCCGUGAGAAAUCCGCCGUGAGAACUCCGCCGUGUCUUCUCUUUGUAAGAUUUCAUUUGUUUGAUCCCUAAUUUUGUUUUAUUGUGUUGGGUUUAAUUAGGAUUUGAUUUCUGUGAGGGUUUGAUAUGUAAUUCUCUUUGAUUUUGUUUGAAACAAAUGCAUUUUGAAUGGAAUUUCGAUUACAAUUAGGAUUUUUUAUGAUUACAGUUCGGAUUUUAAGAUUACUAAUAGGAUUUGAAUUACAAUUCGGGUUUGAAAUUCGGACGACAUGUAGCUACUUUUUCUUGUUUUUAUUUGGAGAUAUUGAGUGAAAGUUGUAACUUUGUUUGUAAACUCUUCUUAAAAUGAUUAAUUUCUCUUGGUCAAUUUUGGAAGAAAUCUGGUUUCAAGUAAGUUAAUAAGGAGUGGAUUGCAGACAUAGAUGAAAUUUUUUGUACGUAUAUAUUAGCCUAUAACAUUUGUUUCUCUAUUACGAGAGGAGGAAAAGGAAAAGGAGACUGAGACUGAGACUGAGAAGGAGAAGGAGAAGGAGAAAGAGAAGGAUAAGGAGAAGAAGAAGCAGAAGAAGACUUGGUGUGUUCAGAUGUGUUUUGGUUUCUAAUGUUAUGUAUGAUUCUAAGUGUUUAGGUACAACUGGUACACUUAUGUACAACUAUGUAUCUGGGUUUGUAUGAAUCUAAGUUUUUUUGACAGAAAAAUCACCAAAAAACUAUGAGUCAAAGUGUUUUGAUCAAAAAAUUCACAACAACACUAUGAAUCUACUAAGUAU
rnacentral:lncRNA from 1 species